ACUCCUACGGGAGGCAGCAGUGGGGAAUAUUGCACAAUGGGGGAAACCCUGAUGCAGCCAUGCCGCGUGUGUGAAGAAGGCCUUGGGUUGUAAAGCACUUUCAGUAGGGAGGAAGGUAGUGUAGUUAACACCUGCAUUAUUUGACGUUACCUACAGAAGAAGCACCGGCUAACUCCGUGCCAGCAGCCGCGGUAAUACGGGAGGGUGCGAGCGUUAAUCGGAAUUACGUGGGCGUAAAGCGCAUGCAGGCGGCCUGUUAAGUCAGAUGUGAAAGCCCGGGGUCUUAACCUCGGAAUUGCAUUUGAAACUGGCAGGCUAGAGUCUUGUAGAGGGGGUUAGAAUUUCAGGUGUAGCGGUGAAAUGCGUAGAGAUCUGAAGGAAUACCAGUGGCGAAGGCGGCCCCUGGACAAAGACUGACGCUCAGAUGCGAAAGCGUGGGAGCAAACGAGGAUUAGAUACCCCGUGGUAGACUGUCA
rnacentral:rRNA from 1 species